UAUAUAUAUAUAUAUAUAUAUGCUUUCAGGGUGCAGCUGCAUGGAUGUCUCUUUCUUUCUUUUUUUCCUGGCAAGACAGGGUCGCAAGAGUGUGAUCAGAAGUGAAAGUUUUGAGUGUUUUCCUAGAAAUGAUCUCUCUGGGCUGGACUGCAUUUUCUGUGGAGGAAAGGUGGUGGAGCUGUGGUCCUACGUAUCUGUGCUCAAGUGCGGCGUAACGUUAGCCAGAAGACAUAGAAAUCUCGUCCGGUUAGGCAUUGUGGGCUUUCCACUACACAGAGUGAUGGAAUAUAAUUGAUAAAGAAGAAAAAGAUGGAAAAGCUAAGCCGAAAACCAUCAAGGCUGUCAGGAAUAUCUUGAUUUCUCAAGUGUUGGUCCUGUUGGAUAGCUACAUCGUGGAGAGCUUCUAUCCUUGUUUUGAUCGUCCACCGAGAAGGUUUUGCUCAUGGCGUUGCCUCCUGGUAUUCUCGGGCACCGUGUUCAUGGUGUCGAUAGAAAGCAGGCCUAACCGGAGCAUCCUUCAAUGCUAGGAAAGUGGGAAAAAGGCUAUCAUUUUGGGUAGUCUAAAGCUUACUUCAACACAACAGUCUCGAUCUUUAUCAUGUGUAGCAACAAGAGGGUAAACAAAUAGAAAGUUUCAUAGUAAUAUCUUCGUUAUAUAUCCAUCUAUAAAUAACAUAUUGAAUUUGUCCUGUCAGAAA